UCAAGAUCUCUACGUUAACCUCAGAGAAGAGUAAUAAUAUAAAGUCUAGUAAGACCGCUCGAGCAGGACGGACCUGUGUUUACCCUGCUUCGGAUUCAUUCUUCUGUAUCGGUUGUAUUGACAAGAACUUGUAUUUGUACACUUGCGGGACCAAGCAUUCGAGAGCCACGUGAGUGAUAGCGCCGGUAAAACCCCAGACACGGUAUUUUCCACCCAGGCUGACCACGAACGCUUCUUCUACCUCAUCAGGAUUGAUCUCCAGUUCUUCCGGCACCACCUCGCCAAUGUAGGCUAGAAC